rnacentral:rRNA from 1 species
UACGGGGGGGGGCAAGCGUUGUUCGGAAUUACUGGGCGUAAAGGGCUCGUAGGUGGCCAACUAAGUCAGACGUGAAAUCCCUCGGCUUAACCGGGGAACUGCGUCUGAUACUGGAUGGCUUGAGUUCGGGAGAGGGAUGCGGAAUUCCAGGUGUAGCGGUGAAAUGCGUAGAUAUCUGGAGGAACACCGGUGGCGAAGGCGGCAUCCUGGACCGACACUGACACUGAGGAGCGAAAGCCAGGGGAGCAAACGGGAGUUA